UGAACGCUGGCGGCACGCUUAACACAUGCAAGUCGAACGGGAUCUUCGGAUCUAGUGGCAGACGGGUGAGUAACGCGUGGGAACCUGCCCAGUAGUAGAGAAUAACUUGAGGAAACUUAAGCUAAUACUUUAUACACCCUCCGGGGAAAAGCUUUAUGCGCUAUUGGAUGGGCCCGCGUUAGAUUAGUUUGUUGGUGAGGUAAUGGCUCACCAAGACUACGAUCUAUAGCUGGUCUGAGAGGAUGAUCAGCCACACUGGGACUGAGACACGGCCCAGACUCCUACGGGAGGCAGCAGUGGGGAAUAUUGGACAAUGGGGGCAACCCUGAUCCAGCGAUGCCGCGUGAGUGAUGAAGGCCUUCGGGUUGUAAAACUCUUUCGUCAGGGAAGAUAAUGACGGUACCGAAGAAGAAG
rnacentral:rRNA from 2 species